UACGUAGGGUGCAAGCGUUGUCCGGAAUUAUUGGGCGUAAAGAGCUCGUAGGCGGUCUGUUGCGUCGGCUGUGAAAACCCGGGGCUCAACCCCGGGCCUGCAGCCGAUACGGGCAGACUAGAGUUCGGCAGGGGAGACUGGAAUUCCUGGUGUAGCGGUGAAAUGCGCAGAUAUCAGGAGGAACACCGGUGGCGAAGGCGGGGUCUCUGGGCCGAUACUGACGCUGAGGAGCGAAAGCGUGGGGGAGCGAACAGG
rnacentral:rRNA from 1 species